rnacentral:lncRNA from 1 species
GUGUUCAAAAAGGUCGUCAUCACAUCCAUCAUACAUCAAGAGGCCCGGCAUGGUGAUUUUCUUCCUCAUCCUGUCUGCAAAAGCCAAGACAGUUCCAUUGGGAUCAAUCUCAAAGAGCUUUUCCACUAUCUUGGUGUAAGCAGUUUCAUGGCGCUUCUCAUCUGAGGCUAUUAUGCCACAUAUUUGAGCCAAGCUCUUGUCCCCAUGUUGAUUGGCGAGCCUGGCAGUAUUGCCAUGGGAUAUGAAAGUUGCCCUUUCUUGAAAUGAAGUAUAGAUGAAUAAUAGGUACGGAUUGUUUUCCAUCUGCACAUCCUAUGAAAAGAUGGAGAAAAAGAACUUGAGUUCAAGAACUAGUGAAGAUUGUGACUGACUUUAGAAAAAACCGAGUACUAAAGAAACUAGUGAAAAUAUCUUUACCAUAGAAGAAGACCCAACCAAAAGGAAAGAAAAACACAAUUCGAUUUGAUGUUUGUAUCUAAUCUUUUUAAAGAUGUUUGCCCAAAACCCAGCUGACUGAUUACAAGUCCUGAAAUUUUAGACCUGGUUUCUUGUCAGCUACAUCAAGCAAGUGUUGUGUAAUGUGUCUAUCAAUUUCAAAUCCACCUUACGUCUUACCAAAAUCUGUCACUAUAUUGUGGUUUUGGAGAUAAAACAGUAAAAAAGUAUGCAGCAAGAAUCUCACCAUUCCAGCCCUAAUCAAAUACUGGAUUGUCUUCUCAAUUUGUUUCAUAUCUACUCUUCCAGACAGAUAGAGAUACUUAUUAAGAAGGUCACCGUGCCUGUUCUCUUCAGCGGUCCAUGCCCUUGUCCAAGUUGCCCAUGAGCUGGGGCUUGCCCCUGUUUCAUCACGAAUUCCAUCAGUGAUAUUGAUCUGUGUUUGGUAAGUUGGAAGGGCUUCUUCAGUGAUCAUAUCUCCAACCAAAACAACAAAGUAGUCAUCCGGGGUCCCCUUAGCUCCUUGACUCGCUCAUGAAAUCCAUCAGAUGCAGGAUCAGGCAGAAGGUCCUGAGGUUGCCAACAUUUCUCAACUGGCUUCAGGUGAAUUAAAACGUUCUCCUCAACCCAAUUCUCCAUGGAUUUGAAAAUCUCAAUCUUGUGUGGUGGCAUUGAGUGGGUUACUUGAAUCUUGUGAGGAGAGCUAAAAGUCUUCUUAGUAACCUCCCUACAUUAAACAGAAGAAAUUUGGAUUAGGUACUUACAGUUCGGAUCCGUCUUUUCACAAUGGUUAGAAUGAAACAAUGAACAUAGACACUUGUCAUUUUCUACUAGAUGGUAUGAACAUUCCGUAAACUUUCGUAAGAAGUGAAGAACACACUCACCUGGACACAGAGCGGUGCAUGGAGGCCACGGAGAAUUUGGGAGAUGUAUGAUAACCCAUUUGCAGGAAAGUAAAAGAAAGCAAGGGAUUCAAAUUGAGAGCCAUUUUCUGACUUCACUUCCUUGUACUCUGGACGAUAUAUAUAUGACAGGCAACCUGGAAAACAACUUACGUGGUUGAAUUGAACUAAUUGAAUGGAGGAGGCCCACGCAUUAAAAGAAUACCAACAUAUGGCUUUAAUAAGUAAUUAGCUCUUAUGCCGAAAAUGGAAUAAGUUUGAGAGUGAUUUUAGAAAAUAUUUUUAAUAUUUAAAUGAUAAAAUUUCAAAUUAAAAAUAUUUUCUACAAUUACUAUUAAACGAAUUCAAUGAAGAUAUAAUUUAAAUGUUCUUUAAAUAUACUUCUUUAUUUCUAUUUUUAGAAACAUAAACAAUAACAACUUUACAUAUAAUAUAAGAGUUAGUAGAGACUUAUUUUAAAAGCAAGAUAGUUUUUAAAAACAUAAAAUUUUAUUUUUUAUGUAAUGGUUAAAACUUAAAAUUUAUUUCAAAUUUAUUUUUACAUUAGUUUUGAAUCUAAUUUUAUUUUAAGAUUUGAAAUUUGAUUAUAUUUGAAUUUUUUUUUACUUACUCGUACCUUUUAAUUCUUAUUUUUUAUUUUUUUUAUUUUAUAUAUUAUUUUACUACUAUUUUUCUUUUAUCUUUUUUUUUUUCCCUCCCUCCUCUUUCUUCCCACUUACCCCACAGAAGCACUCUCUCUCUCCCCAACCUCCACUCCUCACGGCCAGAGAACACCCAUUCUCUCUCCACUUUUUACCAUUUCAUUCUCUUUUCCUACCCUUUUUCAUUUUCAUUUUCUUUUCUUUUUCUCUUCCCUCUUCUUCCUCCCCCAACCAUUUUACCCACUCAUCCACACACGGCAGAGACCUCCCAGACUCUCUCUUCUCCCCUCUUCUUUCCCUUUCCCUUUUCCUUUCCAUUUUUUCUGUCAAUUCCUCCUUCCAUUUUUUACCCUACUCUCCCUCCAGCCACACACCACCCAUCUCAAGCACGGCACCCUUUUUCCCCCUCCCAUUUUCUGGUUCCCCUUUUCUUCGUCAUUUUCUUUCUUUUUCCUAUUUAUCCCACCCAAAACCCAUUUUUGCCGCCCCACCAUCUCCCUCCUCCCCCAUUUUUUUUUCCCUCUUUAUUUCUUUCCCUCUCUUCUUUCUCUCUGUCCUAAAACCCACAACUCCCAAACCCACUGCACUAGGGCUUCGUGAGGUAAAAUUUUUAUUUAUUUUAUUUUGUUUUAUUUUGCUUUGUUUUUAUUAUUAUUGUUGUUGUCAUUAUUAUUAUUAUUUGAUUUCUGCAAUGGUUCGAGUAUUUUGGGUUUGCUUAAUUUGUUUAGUUAUUUAUUUAUUAAAUUAGGCUUGGUUUUGGUUGUAAAUUCGAUUUGGGGUUUAGAUUAUGAGAUAUUAAAUUAAGGUAUAAUUAAUUUUAUUUUGUUUUAUCAUAUUUGUUCUUGAUUGAAUGUGCUUUAAUUUUGGCUCUAAAUUUGGAGAUUUUGGAUAGGGCUUAUAACAUGGAGAAUAUUUCUCUUGGAUUCAUUUUUAUUGGCAAAAUUUAUUUGAUCAAUUUAAAGUUUUAAAUUUAGGAAUCAAUAUUUGUUUUGAACUUUGUGCAUAAUUUUAUAUUUAUAUUUGAACUCAAUUUUUUGUUUUGCGUGUGCCAUGGGCAUUGAGCUUGAGCUUGUUAAGAGCUUAUUUUGGUAUAUAUUUUAUUUUUCUAUUUUUUUUAUUUUAUUUCUAUCCGUUCUUAUAAUUAUUAUUUAUGUAUAUAUUUGUUGGGUGUAUAGAGAAUUAAGCAAUUAAUAGUUCAGAAAUUUUGUUUUAAUAAAAGAAACAGUUCAUUAAUUACGUUUUAAUAAAAACAAUAGUUUAGAAAAUAUUUUUUUAAUAAAUAAAAGUUUUUUAAAUAAAAAUUAAAAAAAAUGCUUUUAGGAAAAUGCAAAAAAAAAAAUUGUUUUUAAUAAAAUUCCAAAAAUUAUUUUUAAUAACAAUUGUUUGAAAAUUUAUUUGAUUAAUAAAAAUUGACCAAAAAAAAUUAUUUGAAAAAAUGGAGGAUUAAAUUUCCAAAAUGGGUAAGAACUUUUUAAUCAAAUAACCAUUUUUUGAAAGCAUUUCCAAUAAAAGAGUUAUUAACAUAAAGACAAAGAUAAAAAGCAAUUUAAUCACAAAUCACUCUUAAACUAACUCGAAAAUAUAUAUAUAUAUAUAUAUAUAUUUCAAAAACAGUUUUUAAAAAUUAUUCUUUAAUAUUUUAUAAAAUAAAUAUUUGUUUGAAAAUUUAAAAUGUUUUUAAAUAUGUUUUGAAAAAAAAAAGUAUAGAGAUUUGUUUUUAACCAUUCUUAAUAUUUGUAUAAUUAUUUUUUAAAGGAAUUUUUAUAAAAUAAGUGAAAAAAAUUAAAAGAUGAUUUAAAUAAUUUUUUUUAUAUUGUUAAACGUAUUUUUUUAUUUUUUUUAUUUUGAAUAGAAAAUUGUUAUGAAUAAAAAGUGUAUAUAUAUUAAAUCAUUUUUAAAUAGAUGAAGAUAAUAUUGAUUUUAAAAUUUUGUGGUUUCUUUUUAUAUAUAUAUAUUCAUAUUAAUGAUUUAAAAGUUAAAACUUAUUUUCCCCAAAAAUAAAUGUCACUACCUAUCAACUAAAAUAUUUGUCUCAAAUUAGCUAUGAGGUGGGAGGCGACGGUUUUCAUUGAUUCCAUUUGCAUUUAUUUCUCGCCUCCCUAUUUCGAAAUAUAUUAAUGGAUUCCACCUACUAAAAAAUAAAUGGACAAUUCAUUAAUAAAUGUAAACUUAUUCUAAUUAAUGGAUUUUACUUGUAAUGUCCUAAAUAUCAAUUAAUAAAAUAAUAAUAAUAAAUCUAAAAAAUGAAACAUUUAGGUGGAGAGCGGAGUUGUCAAUUAAUAUUGAUGGCAAGAUAAAUUACAUAAGUAUUUUAAGAAAAUAUGUGAUGACUCUAUAAAAUGUUGAAGUGUUUCAAAUUGUUUUUAAAUAAAUAAAGAUAAUUCUUGAUUUAAAAAAUUUAGUAUUAUUUUUUAUUACGGAAUCAAAACCCACUUUUUCCUAUUUAGAAAUUAAUUUAUUAUAAUCCUAAAAAAUGUCACUAUCCAAUGCUAGGGUACCAUAUUUAGUGAAUUUUUUGUUUGGAUUUUGUCAUUUUCAUUUGACACACUUUUUCCUAUUUAGAAAUUAAUUUAUUAUAAUACUAAAAAAUGUCACUAUCCAAUGCUAGGGUACCAUAUUUAGUGAAUUUUUUGUUUGGAUUUUGUCAUUUUCAUUUGACAAAAUCGGGGUGAAUUUUGUGGUCAUAGAUAGACGUGCUUCUCUAUAUAUUUAAUGAGUGUUAGAUAUAUAGGUAUGAAUAAAGGAGAGACUAGAUGAGAGUAAGAUCUAGAUGGAAAAGCUUUAAGUUAUGUUUGGUUCUCGGAAAAUAAUAAAAAGAAAAUGUUAAAGAAAAUUAUUUUUUCAUGUUUGGUUUCAAUAUGAAAAUGAGAAUGAAAAUCAAAUCUAAUUAAAAUUAGAUAAAAACUUAUACAUUUUAAAAUUAUUUAAUUCUUAUAUAAAAAUGAAAAAAUAAAAUAAAUAAGUUUGAAGUAGCAUAUAAAAUAUUUUAUUGAUUUUAAAUCUGUUUUUCUAUUUUCUUUUACUGUUUUUACAUUUUUUUUUUCCUUCGUAUUUUUUCUCAUAUUUUUUUAGAAUCAAAUAUAGUCUUAGUAAUUAUAGGGAAGGAAUCAUGGGGAUUUUGAUGGAAAAGAAAUAGAGAGAAAGCAAUUGCUCUACUCAGUCUCUUUAAGGUGGUAGCAAUAUUGGAAUUACUUGAGAGUUUCUAAAAAAAUAGUAGAUAUUUGAAAAUUGUUUUAGAAAAUAUGGCCAAACAGGUCUUUAUGUUCUUAAAAAUCGUUUUUAAAAAUUUUAAAAUUUGAGAUAAUAAUUUUUUUUAAUACUUUAAUUUUUCAAACAAUUUUUAAAAACUAUCAUAUUUUAUGUUAAAAUUAUUAUUAUUACUAAUUUUAAAAACAUAAAUGAAGAAGUAUAUCUUAACAAUUUCUAAUUCGUAUCUAAAUUAUAUUAAGUUAUUAAAUCAAUCUAUGGAAGGAUGUCUUAGAUAGUAUCGAAAACAUGGAGUGAAUGUCAUUUUCAUUGUUGACAAAAGCAUAUGAACUUGACAAGACCUGCCACAUGAAAAAUGAUAUCCAUGACAAACGUUAUUCAUGUUCGCACUUUAAAGCCUUCAACUCCGGCCUAUGAUGGAAAGAUGAUAAAAAAAAAAAAAAAAAAAGAUGGGUGAAUGAACUACUCCCAAAUAUAUCGAGACUCGGUUUGAAAGUGAUUUUAAAAAGGAUUAGAAAACAUGAUGAAUUGUUUGGUAACGAUUUGAAAAUUUUGAUAAGGGUUGAAAUUUUUUUUUAAUAUUUGAAAAUGGUUGUUUUUUUUUGUUUUUUUUUACUAAAAUCAAGAAUAUAUUUAUUAAGGUUCUUGAAAACAAUUCUUGACCGUAGAAUAUAAAGUUAGAAAAGUGUUUUAAAUGGAAACUUUAUUAAAAAAUAUAUAUAUAUUUUGUAUCAUUUGUUAAUAGUGUUUCUAUUAGAACAGUUUUUAAAAGAAUUAUUUUUUCUAAUAUUUAGUUUUUAAAAAAAUACAAGGAAAAGAAAAUAAUAUAUAUAUAUAUAGAUUUAAAGUUGACAAAUUAUAUUUACAAUUUUUUUUUAAAAAAAAAAAUCAUUUCAUUUAACAAAUUAUUUUCAUCUCUUGGCUUGAUUGGUGCUUAAUUAUUUAUUGAGACCAUCAUUAUAAUUUUUAAAUGCAUGAGCCUCAAAACUCUAAUCCCUUGUUUGAGAACUAUUUUUAAGAAUAAUUUUCUAUUUUUUAGAAACAAGAAACUACUUUUUGUUUUCUGAUAGCAAAAAAUAGAAAACAUGGUAUUUUGAAAAAAUAUCUUUUAGUUGUUUUCACUUGUUUUUUUAUAAUUAUUUUAAAAAAUAAUUAUAUAAAUAUAUAUAAUAAUUAAAAAUAAAUUUAUAGAUAUAAAAAUAUUUUUAAAACAUAUUUAAAAAUAUUAAAAAUAUAUUAAAAACAUAUUAAGUUAUCAAAUAGAUUUUUGUUCUAUAAAAUAUCAUAGAACAGUUUUAAAAAAUUAUUCUUAAAAACUAUUUUUUAGAACUAUUUUAAUUACCAAACAAACCUUAAUUUGUUAUUGUCUCGUUCUUGUGCUCAAUUAAUUCAGCCUCACAAAUUGUUUGGUAAGUAAGAAAAUGGGAAAGAAAGAUACCGUGAAAUUCAUGCAAAGAGGUGAGGGUCAAGUGGGAUAUCCUCUUGGCAAGUGGCUCGUUAUCCACAUGCCAUCUACAAGCCUAUUGCCCAAACCACAAUAAUUAAAUAAAAAUAAAAUAAAAUAAAAAACCUAAUACCCAUUUGAGAGUAGUGACAAUCUUUUUUAUUUUUUAUUAAACAAAUAAUAUCAAUUUAUACUAAAUAAUGUUUUGACAUCCAAAUCAAACCGAUCAAUCCAAUUGAUAAUUACUAGGCUUAAAUGUCCAAUAUAUUAUAUAAAAACUCAUAUAAAUACAUAUAAUUGUCAUAGAAAAACCGAUUUGAUCUCAAUAAUAUUUUAAGGGUGAUAUUAUUAUAUAAAUUUUAAAAAUUACUUAAAAUAAUUCUUUAAUUAACACAAUAUAUAUUUUUAUGUUUAAUCUAAAUACCAAAUUAUUCUCCAUAAAAACAAUCCUAAUAGAAGUGCCAUUGAAAAUAAAGCUUUUACUAGGAUCAUUAACAAACAAGCCUUUAAACCAGUGUUUGUUCUUUUGAAGGAUUGAUAUUGCAUUAAUUGAACCUCCAUAACUGAUAAGUUCUUUUUGCGUACCAAAAUCUUGUUCAUUAAUUAAUUAUACAAGAAAGUCUUUCACAACAUCAAUUUCCACGAGUGAAAAAUUGACAACAACUUUGAUGGAACAUUUGGGUUUAAUUUAUUCAAGUAUGAAGUAUGCUUGUUUGGCAAGUGGGAAAAUGAGAGAAGAUAUGAGCAUCAUAGAGCCCAUGCAAACAAGUGAAGGUGACAAGUGUAAUAUCCUCUUCGCCACUUGCUCAUGUUCCUCAUGACACCUCUCUCUCUCUCUCUCUCUCUCUCUCUCUCUCUGCCCCUGUUUUGCUCAUCUCUGUGGACCCUAAUGUAGCUCUUAGCUAGUGAUGUCACGUUUUUCUUUUAUAUAUAAUUUUUUUUUUCUCUUCUACAUUUUUAACCCACCUUUGAUACCCAAAUGAUAUAUUUUUAGUAUUUUUAUUAUAAAAAUAUUAAUAAUUUGUGAAAAUCAUUUAUCAAAAACAACAAAAAUAUGAUGCAAAUUUUCAAUUAGGUAAAAAUAAAUUUAUACAUUAUGCUAUCUCAAAAAAAUCUACUAAAAAUAUUGAUAAAAAAUAUUGAAGUUGUUCAAUGUUUGAUAAUUAGUUUGGAGAAUAGUUUUUUAUUUUUUAGAAAAAAAAAAAAAGAAAACACUUUUCUCAAUUAAAAAAUAUUUUUUAUUUUUUAUUCUUAAUAAUAGAAAAUAUAGUGUUUUUAAAUAAUAUUUUUUAAUUAUUUAAAAAUAAUAAUUAUAUAAAUAUGUAAAAUAAUUAAUAAAGAAUAUUUUUUAAAACAUAUUUAAAAAGAUUAAAAAUAAAUUAAAAAUAUUUUUAGUUAUUAAAUAUACAUUUAUUUCACAAAUCAUCAUAAAACUGUUAAAACAGUUACCAAACAUGUCAAUUUUUUUAAUUUUUAAAAAUAAUUUUACUUUGAAUGUUUCUUUUCAAAUAAUUUAAAUCUUUUAAAUGUGUGAAAUAAUUUUUAUUGAAAUAUUCAAAUAAUAUAAAUUUUAAAAUAAUUAAUAAAAAAAUAUUAUAAAUUAUAUAAUUGGUCUCAAUCAAAUGCCUGAAAAAAAAAAUUGGUUGAAUUAGUUGGUAGAUUAUUAGGUAGGAAAUAAUCAAAUAACCAACUUUUUUUUUUCAAAUUAGGGCACAAAUUUCAAUAUCCAUAAAAAAUGUGAAUAAAGAAAUAAAAUAAGAAAUUAAGAUAAAAAUAAAUAUUUUAAAAUUCAAAUGAAAAAUAUUUUCCUUACAAUCUUCUCUUAUUAAAUUGCAAAGUACUUUUUUCAAUUGAAAAAAAUUAUUUUCAUAUAAAAAUAAUUAUAGAUAAAACCCUUUAAAAAUAAUUUAAAUUUUAUGUAUCAAUAAAAUAUAAUAUCUAAAAUAGUCAAAAAUAAUAUCUAUAUCAUUUAAAUUUUAUGUAUCAAUAAAAUAUGAUAUCUAAAAUAGUCAAAAAUAAUAUCUAUAUCAUUAAAAGAUAAUAUCUGAAUCGUCAAAAUAAUAUUUUGAUAAAAAAAAAUAUGAAAUAUUAAUUAUUUUUAAAUAAUUAUUUAAAAUUUAUAUUUAUAAAUUUAAGUUUGUAUUUUUUAAUUUUUUUAUAUGAAAGUAUGAAAACAUAUUUUUCUGAUUUUGACGUUAUGGAAAUCUAAAUAAAUAGAUAGAUGUUUUUCAAAAAUUAUAUGAUAAUGUCUAAAACAUAAUAAUUAUUUUUAUAAUUUUUAAAUUACCGAAAAUUUCAAAAAAGAAAAAAGAAAAAUGAAAAAAGAAAGGUGAUGUGAUUUUAAUGAAAAGGGAUCCGCUAUAAAUAGACACAAAAACCAUUCAGUGGAUCCGAAGGCCCCUGUCCCUCCCCUCUUCCUUCCCUUCUGUGGAGGAAACUGAACCUAAGGCCAAAAGCCUCAGCAGCUCAAACCUCUCUCUGUCUCAAGAACAAAUGGCUCUCCAACUCAAUCACCUCUCCUUCCAAUUCCACAAGUUCCCUUCCUUUUCUCUCCCUCCAAUGGCCAGCAUCAGAUCUCCCACCGUCUUCAUGGCCUCCACUCUCCGCUCUGGCUCCAAGUCAGUCUCUUUUCUGCUCCUCUAUUCUGCUGUUUUAAUGGAUCUUCUCAUUCCUUCUUGUUCACCUCCUGUUUUUGGAUCUGGUUUCUGUUUUUUCCCUCUAAUUUGGUCUCUGAAUGCAUUAAUUCUUCAUGGGUUGUCGUUAUCUCGUUGUUUUCUUUCUGGGUUUUCUGCUUUUUUUCCCCUCUAAUUUGGGUUGGAGCUGCAUUGAUUUUUCAUGGGUUUCCGACUCUUGCUGUUUUGUUAUCUGGGUUUUCUGUUUUUAAUCUUCUAAUUGUGUUCAUUGAGAUGUGUUUGGUGUUGAUUUUCCUGGUGGGGUUUUUCCUUUUUGUUAUUGAUUUUGUUUCUUAAAUGUUUUUUUUUCUCGCUCGGGUUUUCUGCUUUUCUUCCCAAACUUGGACAAUUUGAGCUGGGUUUCAUUAAUUUUUCAAAAAUAUGUAUUUUUUUUGUUGGGUUUGAUUCAUGCUCAUGCAUGUUACCAGAAAUCUGUGCAGUUUGAGGAAUUCACAGUCCUAGUUUAUGUACCGGCAGAUUCUCGUUCGGAAAUUCAUGUUCUCUUGCUUUCAUUCAUAUGAUUUUUCAAACAGUUUUGAUUCCUAAAAUGUGUUUAUGCAUUCACUUGAUUUCAUCAUAUGAAUAAAUCUGUGUUUUUAUUUGAAUUUAUAGCCCGGAUGCAUUUAGCUCAGAUGAUGAUUGCUGAUGUGUUGCCUUUGUUUCUUCCAGUUUCUUCACUUUGCCCUCUUUCUUAUUUUCAAUUUGGCAGAUGGAAUUGUCUACUUUAUUACGUGUUUCUGUUUGUGGUUUCUGGUCUAUGUUUGUGGGCGGUUUACUGUUUCUCUUUGUCAUUUUUCAGUUUGGUGGGGAAGGGGUGCUUGGGAUAUUUCUUGUACUCAUAUUAUAAUUUGAGAACAGCACCAAAUCAUCACUGUGAAUGAAUUGGUUGUUUAAUUGUUGAGAUUUGGUUUUGAUUUUUUUAAGUGCUUUUGUGUUAGCUGGAUAGUCUUGAUUGACUCAUCUAAUUUCUUUAGUUCUUAGUUCAUGCAUGCCUGAUUUUUGUAUGUCUUAUUCAUACAUAUUUAUAUUUUAUUCUUAGUGGAAAAGCCUGGAAGAACUCGUCUUCUGAACAACUUUUAGUAAUGGCUGAGUUGAGUUCUGCAGCUUUUUUCUUUUCUUUUCUUUUUUUUUUCAAUAUAGUUUGGGUCAUUUUCUGGCUGGUAAAAAAUUCAGGGACUGCAAAGUCGUCCAAUUUUGGUUUCUUGCGGGUUGCGUCGGUGCAACGUGCUAGUGGUUUUUCUUUACACCUUGAGGCUUGUCGGUGCAUGCUUGCUUUUGUGUCGAAGAGGCGUUAUGCUCUAGGCUGAGUUUAUGGGUUUUUGUUUGGUAGUUCAAUUGAAUUAACAUGUUCACGUGGGAUUUUGUUUUAAGGUGUUAACUUCUACUUCAUUUCCGUUUCCAUUUCCUGAGUUUGUCCAAUUCCGAGUAUAAACCAUAUAAAAAAACGCUCAUAAGUUAAAAUUUUCUUAUAAAAAAUUCAUGUAAUAUACUUAAGAGUCCGUUUAGUUGUGAUUUUUGGAAGCGUUUUUAAUAUUUUUAAUACUUGAAAAUUUUUAUCAUUCGGUGUUAUAAAUGCUAAAAACACUUUCUAGAAUCACUCUCAAACGCACUUUUACUUGUAUUAUUUCAAUUUGUUUAUUGCGAUGUUUUUUUAAUGGGCUGAUGAUGAUUUGAACACAUUUGAAUUUCGUACUGAGCAGGCUGAUCAAUGAAAUUGCAUUGCUUGCAUUAGUUUUUUAGGUGGUGGAUCUUUGACCUUUUUUCAAAUUUUUAGAAGUGUUUCCUAAAUUUUGCCAAACACUUUAUUUAUUUUCAAAAACACUUUUUAGAUUAAUAAUGUUUUUUAAAACCAGUUCCAAAUAGACUUUUCGAAUAUGUUUGACAAUGUUUUUAUUUGAAGUGUUUUCUCUAGAGGUGUUUUUAGGAAAAUCACCUAUCAAAUAUUUUUCCAGAAAAUAUUACAAGUGAUUUUUAAGAUUUCUAAAAAUGCUUCCUAAAUUUUACUAAAUACCCAAUGUUUUUUUAAAAGCACUUUUUAGGUUAAAAACAGUUCUUAAAAUCACUACCAAACGAACUCUUAGUGAGCUAUUCCCAUUCUGAUCAAUAUUUGGGAUGGAAAUCAAGAUUAUUUAAUUCAUGGGCUGCCAUUAGAAGGAUCACACAUUAGUAUUAAGCCAAUGAAGGAUAUCUAUGCAUUUGACCAACCAUUUUUUACUAAUAUUAUUCAUGGUAAAAGUGAUUUCUCUGAUGGUAUAUGAAGAAAUGGCAACUUGCUUUAAACAAGUUGUUAUCUCAUCCAUGGCAUGGGCAAGGAUCUAAGCGAUUUGGGCAUGGUUUGAAUCUUAUGUGAGUCUAAGAGGAUCAUAUUUGGUGCUUUUGGGAUUUCACUAGAGCCACCACGAAUAUUUAUAGAUUAGAUGACUUAUUCCUUUCAUGAUUAUGUAUUAGAUGACCUAUAAAAAAAAGAUUAUGUAUUAGAUGCCCAACAGUGUCAUUAUAGCUAAUUUGAUAGCUUAGAACUUUAGAUGUCUUUGAGUCCGUGCAAAUCAAUCUUGUGUGUGAUGAUGUGAUGAAGGAACAUUGGGUGGUUUGGUAGGAAUUCCAUCCAUGGAAAAUCAAGCAUCUUUAUCCUCAUUGUCUUUCUUAAGCAACACAUUUUGUGUAAGAGUAAACAGUGGCAAGGAGGAAAUACCCUUAGAAGAGCAUACCAAAUAUCAAUGUUAAAAAUUACAGAUUUUGGUUGCCACUUUUCACUUUAUUUUUCAAAAAACAUAAACAUUUUAUAGAUUUACCCAUUAAAAGUAGCCAUAUUAUCAUCAUUGGCCACCUACCGAGCCCUUAGAAAAGUAUUCUAUCCAUCAUAAGCUGGCUGCUUGGUUAAGAUGCAGCUUUACACCCCUUUGGUCGACAAUAAAUUCCUCCAAGGGAGGCUACGUCUUUUCUAUGAUCUUCUUGUGCUAGCUGGUGUAUUCAAAGUGUUCUCUGAAUUUGGCAUGACUGAAACAUUGAAGAUUGAGAGAUUAAUUUCCAUGAUGUCAGUGUAGAACAAAAAUGGGCCCUCCUAUCGGGGCUAAAAUUUGGCAUAAUCAUUUGAAUUCAAGGAUUGCUGGACUGAUUUUGAUCAUAUGAUAGGAGAAUGAUCUCGACUAUGUUGGGAGAUGCAUUGUCAUUUGAUUUUGAAAUUUAUUCUUUUGCAUUUAUAAAGAGCAUGUUUGGAACUUUGGAUCAGUUAUCAUGUACAUGAGAUCCCUUAAAUAUGCUGCAAUGUAUUAUACUUGUAAUAUGGCAGUGUCUGAACCUUUUGAAAAACCAAACAUCUGAACAGUAAGUACCUAAUCUAAAUCUCUUCUGGUUAAUGCAGGGAGGUUGAGAAUCUCAAGAAGCCUUUUAGCCCUCCUCGGGAGGUUCAUGUUCAAGUGACCCACUCCAUGCCACCCCAAAAGAUUGAGAUCUUCAAAUCCAUGGAGAAUUGGGCUGAGCAGAACAUUUUGGUUCACCUGAAGCCAGUUGAGAAAUCUUGGCAACCACAGGAUUUUCUACCAGAUCCUGCUUCUGAUGGAUUCCAUGAACAAGUCAAGGAACUAAGGGAGAGGGCAAAGGAGCUUCCAGAUGAUUACUUUGUUGUUUUGGUUGGAGAUAUGAUCACUGAAGAAGCCCUUCCAACUUACCAAACAAUGCUUAAUACCUUGGAUGGGGUUCGGGAUGAAACAGGUGCAAGCCUCACCUCUUGGGCAAUUUGGACAAGGGCAUGGACUGCAGAAGAGAACAGGCAUGGUGACCUUCUCAACAAGUACCUAUAUCUGUCUGGACGAGUAGACAUGAGACAAAUUGAGAAGACAAUUCAAUAUUUGAUUGGAUCAGGAAUGGUAAGUUCCUUCACAUGAACAUUUGAAAGGUUUUAUCUCUAAACUACUUUAAGCAGUUAAACUUUGCAAAACUUUUGAAAUGAGGAAAUGAUGGGAGGCUUGGUAAGUGGUAUGGUGGGAUCCUGGAUAAGGUUGCAUGAGCAAAAUUUUUAUGCUGCUCCAACUGUAUCCUGGAUCAAGAUUAAGACGUGUUUGACAGUGGAAGAUAUUGAAUCAAGAUCUUGGCUGGAUCUGAAGGAUAUCCUCAAUGUCUUCUAGUCCAUUCAUUUGCAUAUUCAUGAAAACACUUCUGAAGCUUAAAAUGAUUAGAUAGUUAUUUACAUCCAAACUUUUUCCUUGCGAAGAUGCCCUCUAAAUAAUAUUUUCUUCUGUUGGUGGUAUGUUUUACUUCUGGCAGUUGUUCCAUGUCCUUUUGUUCAUUUUGUUUGGAGCAGAUGUUACAUAAUCCAUUGAUAGCAGAGGGGUUUAAAUCACCAAAAGGAAGGGAUAUAUAUCUAUUCUGUGAUUUUUGUUCCUGUGGAAGUUCUGAAUUUGAUUUCUUAUCCUCCCAUCAUUUUAUAGGAUCCACGGACAGAGAAUAGUCCCUACCUCGGGUUCAUCUACACUUCAUUCCAAGAAAGGGCGACAUUCAUCUCCCAUGGCAACACUGCCAGGCAUGCCAAGGAGCAUGGGGAUAUGAAGUUGGCUCAAAUAUGUGGUACAAUUGCCUCAGAUGAGAAGCGCCAUGAAACUGCCUACACCAAGAUAGUCGAAAAGCUCUUUGAGAUUGAUCCUGAUGGAACUGUACUGGCUUUUGCUGACAUGAUGAGGAAGAAAAUCUCUAUGCCUGCUCACCUGAUGUAUGAUGGCCGUGAUGACAACCUCUUUGAUCACUUCUCAGCAGUAGCCCAGCGGCUGGGAGUCUACACUGCCAAGGACUACGCCGACAUACUGGAAUUCUUGGUGGGCAGGUGGAAUGUGGAGAAGCUCACUGGACUCUCUGGUGACGGGCGAAAAGCACAGGACUAUGUUUGCGGGUUAGCCCCAAGAUUCAGAAAGCUGGAGGAAAGAGCGCAAGGAAGAGCCAAGGAAGCACUCACCAUUCCUUUCAGCUGGAUUUUUGACAGAGAAGUGAAGCUGUGAGAGCCAGGUCAGGCAUACACUCUCCAUCGAAUCCUCCCCCCGCUUCUUACACAGAACACAAACAGAGGUAGAAGUUUCCCAGUUGCAUUUUCGUCUGCUAUUCCAAUUUCGCUUUGUUGAAGGGUUGUAGAUACAGUUGUUUUCAGUUGCAUGGUUCUCCUACAGGGGGCAGUUGUCGGUUCUUUUUUUCUUUGUUUCUUUUUCAAGUUCUAUGUUCUGAAUGGCCCUUAUGUACAAGUUUGUGUUCAUCCAAUAGUAAGUAGUAAGUCUUUGCCUCUUUGGUCCUUUGUUGUCCUUUUGAGUGUAAGUGAAACGCUGUUUCCCUCUCUAUUGCAAUUUUGAUGAUCAAUCCCAUGCACUGCAACUUGAUCAUUUUUUUGGGGUUUUAGAAAUCUGGGUUUUGGUGGUUGGUAUGCUUAAAAGUUUAUGAAACCCAGAUCGUGUGUGGAUGUUUCUGUAGAAAGAGUGGAAGAUACAUGGAGGUCUUGAACUGGGCACUCAGGUCUGAAUGCUUCUUGUCAUGUCUUGUUAAACUAAAAACAUUUUCAGCUAAAUGGCUCCCACAAGUGUUCUUUGCAACAACCAUGAAUACAGAUUUCAUUUUGAAGGUCAAAUAAAUCCUGUUUGGAUGAAGGAAUUUAAAAAGAUUUUUAUGAUGCAAAAUCAUAUGCUGAGAAAAUUAUUAGGGUUAGAUAGAUAACCUAGGCUCACUUCAAGAAGAGAAUUAUUACACCUCUAUUAAAGUUUGGUGUAAAUAUACUUAAAUUUUGUUAAUUAGCAUCCUUAUAAAUCUAUUUUAUUUUAUUUUUAAAGAGAUUCUAAGUAAAAUUAUUUUAGAUACAAGUGUUUAACAAUUCUCUAAAAAUUAAAUUUUAUUCUUUAAAUGUUUUUAUGGAUAAAAUUUGAAAUCUAUGAUGACUUAAUGUCUUUAUAUUAAACUUAAGGGGUCUCAAUGAAAUUAAUCGUUUUAUUUAGGAUUGCAACUUGAUCGGAUUAAAAGGUAGCACCUAACUCGGGUUUUUAAAUAAAAAAAAUUAAAAUAAGCAUUUUUAUUUAAAUAAAAUAAUCAUUUCAAAGCUAUAAAGCAUAGUCAUAUCUAAAUAUAUUUCAAAACUAUAAAACAUAUCAUUAGAUACUACUAAACAUAAGUAUCAACUAUAACCUCAAGUUUCAAAUGCUUUUCAAUAUCUAUAAAUUCAAAUUUCAAAUACUUUUCUAAUUCCAAUUUGAACAAAAAUUGAAUGAAAAUAUUUCCUAAACUUGGUUAUGUUUGGUUCAAAAAGCUUAGUAAAGAAAAAAAUUUUUUUUUUUGUUUGGUAAAAAAAAUAAAAUAAACAUAAUUAAAAUUAGUUAAAAAUUAAUGUAUUUUAUAAUUAUUCAAUUUUUAUAUCAAUGACUUAAAAUAAAUAUAAUUUUUAUAUAAUUAAAGUAAACAAAUACUUUUUGCUUUUUAUAUUUUUUCUCCCUUUAUCCAUUUUUCACUUUUAUAAUUCAAACCGACUAAUAAAAUUAAAAAAUAAUAAAUAAAUAAUUAGUUUGGGCUUCCAUGAGUUGGUAAUGCCCUUAACCCACACACCAGUGGAUUACCCAAUUUACAUAUCGGUGGAGGGAUUAAUCUAUAUCAUUUAUUUCGUCAUUUCAAUUUCAAUCUUACAUUUUUCCUCCAUAUCUAUUUUCCCUUAUUUUCGCUUAUUCUCUCGACAAUCAAACAUAGUCUGUUUCACUUCUUAAUCUUUUGUUCAAAAUAAUUGAAUUAAGAUAUAUAUAAACCAGACAACGAUUGCCUCCCAAACAAACAAAAAUCAAAUUAAAUAAAAAUUUUCUGACUUCUUAUUUUAUUAAAAAUCGAAGAAAAAAAAUAAUGUGAAAAACCUAAUCUUAAAAGGAAAAAAUGCAUUCGCAUUAAAUCGGUAGGUAAAUCUACCUCAAUCUUUAUUUUUAUUUUUUAUUUUUAAAAAUCAAGUGGAGAAGUGAAAAUCGAAUGUAGCGACUUGUUCGAGGCCAUGAUCAAAAUAAAAAUGAUUGACAGGCACGGAGAAUCGCCAUUUUUCCUUAUCGCCAACCUUCAAGGCAAAUUGCGUCAUUUCUCUUUUAUUCGACGCCUUUGCUCUGCUAAUUGGCUUCAAAGUAUAAAAAACACUAUACAUCUACAAACACUGGAUGCCAAGAAAACAAAAAGAAAAAAACCUCCAAAUCUCAAAGAAAAGUGAAACCCUAACCCUAACCCUAGAGAUGGAAGAGAAGAACACGUACAACCAAAGGGCAAACUCCGCUAUAUUUAUAGAUGAGAAGCGAAACCCUAAUUCGGUCUGAAAUGACAA